rnacentral:rRNA from 1 species
AGGCGUCGAGCGGCGGACGGGUGAGUAAUACUUAGGAAUCUACCUAGUAGUGGGGGAUAGCACGGGGAAACUCGUAUUAAUACCGCAUACGACCUACGGGAGAAAGGGGGCAGUUUACUGCUCUCGCUAUUAGAUGAGCCUAAGUCGGAUUAGCUAGAUGGUGGGGUAAAGGCCUACCAUGGCGACGAUCUGUAGCUGGUCUGAGAGGAUGAUCAGCCACACCGGGACUGAGACACGGCCCGGACUCCUACGGGAGGCAGCAGUGGGGAAUAUUGGACAAUGGGGGAAACCCUGAUCCAGCCAUGCCGCGUGUGUGAAGAAGGCCUUUUGGUUGUAAAGCACUUUAAGCAGUGAAGAAGACUCCGUGGUUAAUACCCACGGACGAUGACAUUAGCUGCAGAAUAAGCACCGGCUAACUCUGUGCCAGCAGCCGCGGUAAUACAGAGGGUGCAAGCGUUAAUCGGAAUUACUGGGCGUAAAGGGAGCGUAGGUGGCUCGAUAAGUCAGAUGUGAAAUCCCCGGGCUCAACCUGGGAACUGCAUCUGAUACUGUUGAGCUAGAGUAUGUGAGAGGAAGGUAGAAUUCCAGGUGUAGCGGUGAAAUGCGUAGAGAUCUGGAGGAAUACCGAUGGCGAAGGCAGCCUUCUGGCAUAAUACUGACACUGAGGCUCGAAAGCGUGGGU